rnacentral:tRNA from 1 species
AAGAAGUUAGUUAAAAAUAUAACAUUAAUAUGUCAUAUUAAAAUAAUUAAUAAAUUUAAUACUUCUUU